rnacentral:sRNA from 2 species
GUAACCAACAGCAGAUCCGCAAGGGCAAGCAAAAACUUCAAAUAAAUAUGUUUUCUGAGAAACAUACGCUGUACAGCGAUUCCGCAACACACUACCUCCCACUAUGUAACCUUUCUCCGCAUGGUGAUCCGAUCGGAGUUCCGUCCGUCGUUGAGCGGACGAAUAGCUUGUUACAAGGGUAGCUUGAUAGUUUGCAUUGAGAGCCCAAUGCAGUCAUUCAUUAGUUCCUCCACUGAUCACCAACAAAGCUGCUGAUACCAGAUCAACCACCCGGCAUGAGCGGCGGAUGGUUGGAAAAACUCAGAGCAUCGAAUUACAGCGAAGUUUUUGCUGGUAAUAUAGCUGUCAAGCAGAUCAAUUAAACUUAAGCAACCUCUUAUCUCUUGAGAUGGCAG